CUUCAACUGAGAGGGGUCGCUGUCCCCUGAAACAUGGACCAAGAUCUAUCCACUUCAACUGAGAGGGGUCGCUGUCCCCUGAAACAUGGACCAAGAUCCCGUCUUCUUGCCCCUUAAAUAUGGUCAUUCUUGAUGAGGACUCAUCUUCUACCAUGGUAGGUGAUCUACAAGGGUGGGGUUCUUUUUUUACAUUAAAACAUAAGAAAUUAUAUUUAUCUCAAUACACUUAUUUUCUAAGAAUCACACUCUUAUUAGAUAAAUAGAGAGAGGAAGAGAGAGGGGGGAUGACAGAGGGAGGGAGGGAGAGAGAGAGGGGUUGGGGAGAGAGUCAGUCACUCUGCACCGUCUGUAUUAGUAUUAGUCUAAUAUUAGUAUUAGUCUGUAUUAGUAUUGUAUUAGUAUUGGUCUAUAUUGGUAUUAGUCUGUAUUAGUAUUAGUCUGUAUUAGUAUGUCUGUAUUAGUAUUAGUAUUAGUCUGUAUUAGUAUUAGUCUGUAUUAGUAUUCGUCCGUAUUAGUGUUAGUCUGAAUUAGUAUUAGUCUGUAUUAGUUUUAGUCUGUAUUAGUCUAAUAUCAGUAUUAGUCUGUAUUAGUCUUGUAUCAGUAUUAGUAUUAGUCUAAUAUCAGUAUUAGUCUGUAUUAGUCUAAUAUCAGUAUUAGUCUGUAUUAGUCUUGUAUUAGUAUUAGUCUAAUAUCAGUAUUAGUCUGUAUUAGUAUUAGUCUAAUAUUAAUAUUAGUCUAUAUUAGUAUAUCUGUAUUACUAUUAUUCUGUAUUAGUAUUAGUCUGUAUUAGUAUUGUAUUAGUCUUAUUCGUAUUAGUCUGUAUUAGUAUUAGUCUGUAUUAAUGUCUGUAUUAGUAUUAGUCUAGUAUUAGUCUGUAUUAGGUUGAGACUGUAUUAGUAUUCACCUGUAUUAAUAUUCAUCUAGUAUUAAUAUUUGUAUUGUAUUAGUCUAGUUUUAGUAUUAGUUUGUAUUAGUAUUUGUCUGUAUUAGUAUUUGUCUGUAUUAGUCCUAUAUUAGUCUGUAUUAGUCUAGUAUCAGUAUUAGUCUGUAUUAGUAUUAGUCUGUAUUAGUAUUAGUCUGUAUUAGUAUUAGUCUGUAUUAGUAUUAGUCUGUAUUAGUAUUAGUCUGUAUUAGUCUAGUAUCAGUAUUAGUCUGUAUUAGUAUUAGUCUGUAUUAGUAUUAGUCUGUAUUAGUAUUAGUCUGUAUUAGUAUUAGUCUGUAUUAGUAUUAGUCUGAACUAGCCUUGUAUCAGUAUUAUUCUGUAUUAGUAUUAGUCUGUAUUAGUCUAUAUUAGUCUUGUAUUAGUCUGAAUUAGCAUUAGUCUGUAUUAGUAUUAGUCUGUAUUCGUAUUAGUAUAGUAUCAGUAUUACAAGUGUAAUGGAUUGAAUUAGAAUAUGUACAUAAAAAUAUAUGCAGCCACUCAAUGUUAGUGGUGGAUGUUUAACAGUCUGAUGGCCUUGAGAUAGGAGCUGUUUUUCAGUCUCUCGGUCCCAGCUUUGAUGCACCUGUACUGACCUCACCUUCUGGAUGAUAGCGGGGUGAACAGGCAGUGGCUCGGGUGGUUGAUGUCCUUGAUGAUCUUUAUGGCCUUCCUAUGACAUCAGGUGGUGUAGGUGUCCUGGAGGGCAGGUAGUUUGCCCCCGGUGAUGCGUUGUGCAGACCUCACUACCCUCUGGAGAGCCUUAUGGUUGUGGACAGAGCAGUUGCCAUACCAGGCGGUGAUACAGCCCGACAGGAUGCUCUCGAUUGUGCAUCUGUAAAAGUUUGUGAGUGUUUUUGGUGACAAGCCAAAUCUUCAGCCCCCUGAGGUUGAAGAGGCGCCGCUGCGCCUUCUUCACGACGCUGUCUGUGUGGGUGGACCAAUUCAGUUUGUCCGUGAUGUGUACCCCGAGGGACUUAAAACUUUUAACCCUCUCCACUACUGUCCCCUCGAUGUGGAUAGGGGGUGCUCCCUCUGCUGUUUCCUGAAGUCCACGAUCAUCUCCUUUGUUUUGUUGACAUUGAGUUUGAGGUUAUUUUCCUGACACCACACUCCGAGGGCCCUCACCUCCUCCCUGUAGGCCGUCUCGUCGUUGUUGGUAAUCAAGCCUACCACUGUAGUGUCGUCCGCAAACUUGAUGAUUGAGUUGGAGGCGUGCGUGGCCACGCAGUCAUGGGUGAACAGGGAGUACAGGAGAAGGCUCAGAACACACCCUUGUGGGGCCCCAGUGUUGAGGAUCAGCGGGUGGAGAUGUUGUUACCUUCCCUCACCACCUGGGGGCGGCCCGUCAGGAAGUCCAGGACCCAGUUGCACAGGCCGGGGUCUGAGGACUGGCUUCCAUCUGGCCACUCUACCAUAAAGGCCUGAUUGGUGGAGUGCUGCAGAGAUGGCUGUCCUUCUGGAAGGUUCUCCCAUCUCCACAGAGGAACUCUAUCUCUGUCAGAGUGACCAUCAGGUUCUUGAUCACCUCCCUGACCAAGACCCUUCUACCCCGAUUACUCAGUUUGACCGGGCGGCUAGCUCGAGGAAGAGUCUUCGUGGUUCCAAACAUCUUCCAUUUAAGAAUGAUGGAGGCCAUUGUGUUCUUGUGGACGUUCAAUGCUGCAGACAUUUUUUGGUACCCAUCCCCAGAUCUGUGCCUCGACACAAUCCUGUCUCGGAGCUCUACAGACAAUUCCUUCGAACCUCAUGGCUUGGUUUUUGCUCUGACAUGCACUGUCAACUGUGGGACCUUAUAUAGACAGGUGUGUGCCUUUCCAAAUCAUGUCCAAUCAAUUGAAUUUACCACAGUUGGCCUCCAAUCAAGUUGUAGAAACAUUUCAAGGAUGAUCAAUGGAAACAGUUUGCGCCUGAGCUCAAUUUUGAGUCUCAUAACAAAGGGUCUGAAUACUUAUGUCAAUGUUUUUUUUAAAUAAAUUUGCAGCCAUUUCUGAAAACCUGUUUUCACUUUGUCAUUAUGGGGUAUUGUGUAUAGAUUACUGAGGAUACAUUUAAUGUUUUUUAAAGAAUAAGGCUGUAACAAAAACAGUGUGGGAAAAAGUCAAAGGGUCUGAAUUAUUUAUGAAGGCACUGUACUAAAUAAUAAAUGUGUAAAAUUAGUUGUGAUUUAGAAUGGACCAUAAUCAUGCUCCUGUCUCGGAACAAGAGCAUAGGAAAAAAAAUACACGUUCGUCUUAAGGACUUAAACAGCUUUUCCCCGUGCUUCAUUUUCAUGCCAGCCAGGUAGGAUAUACUCCUGCUGUAAAUAUAAGCAAUGUGCUUAAUAUUAAGAAGGCUGAUAAAUAAAUAUAGUAGGCCUAGACUAUAGAAAGCUGAUCCUCCACUUUUUAAUAGAGGCCAUCGUAACUCUGUUGUCUCGCGCAAUUGCAUAGUAUAUAUAAAUGUGGCGCAACAUGAGAUCUCAUGAAGUCCUUGAUCAGAUCUUCCAUUAGAUUUUCUAUUGAUGUCAGAGUGAUUAGAGGGACAAUAGAGUGCUGAGUACCAGGCAGUUAGCAAGUUUGGUAGGUUACUAAUGACCAUCAGCAGCAUCAGAGCUUAGAGAAACUUAAUUACAGUGACCAAACAGUCACAUGGAAUUUGACUGCCAUCAUGACUCAUGACCGUCGGUGUGGCGGUAAUACGGUCACCGUAACACCUCUAGCCCUGAGGCAGCAGCGGGCAGUGAGACGUUCUCCCUGGACGAGGACAUUCUACAACCGUUGGACGGGGGCGGUUCUCCCUGGACGAGGACAUUCUACAACCGUUGGACGGGGGCGGUUCUCCCUGGACGAGGACAUUCUACAACCGUUGGACGGGGGCGGUUCUCCCUGGACGAGGACAUUCUACAACCGUUGGACGGGGGCGUACGGACAUCCCCCGGAAUGGGUCCUCUAGCUGCAGAACCAACACAAGUUUCAUAUGUGGCCACUCAACAGCUCCGUCACGUUCCACCAACAUGUUCCAUCAACACGUUCCACCGUUCCUGCCCUCAGCCCCUCUGGUUUUGCUACUGUCAGCGUCUCAGCCCCCCCAACGACCAUCCUCCUCUGGCUGACCGUAUCCCACUGUGGGGCU
ensembl:lncRNA